UGAAUAUAUUUGAUGACACUUGAAAUUUUGCUCUCUCCUCACCCAGCUUUGCCUCCAUAUUUCACUCGCCUCUCUCUUCUGCCUAGCUAUCACUCAUGAUGUGAUAUGCAUAUAUGUGGACUUGGAUCGAUAUUAUAUUUCAACGUGUUUUUAUAAUUUUUACAAGAGUUAAAGUGUACACCUUCAAUGAGUUGUUGAGAGUUGUGAUGCUAAGUCCGUAUUUGUCACUUCAAUUCAUUUCAUUCUUGCUUUACAUUUCUUCUCAACUUCAUGACUUGGAUGCUCAUUCAUUCAUGCCAUGUUCUUUUUUUUCGGUGCGCACAAUACAUGACAAACUUAUACUUAACCUUACCUUACCUUACCUUACCUAAGCUUUUCCUUAAUGGAUGUGACUUUCACCGUUUGUGAGUGUACAUCUUUUACAUGUAUUCAUACCAUCUUUGAUGUGUGCAUAUUUCUUAACAAAAUGCAGUUUAAAAAUACAAUUCUUCAGGUUCUUUUACCUUUCUGCAAAUUGUUUUAUGAAUCACAGCAUUCCUUUUGUUGGUGAUGUGAA
rnacentral:misc_RNA from 1 species